GUCGAUUUUUGAUCAUUUGAACACCUUGAAUGUAGAGAAACACCAUUGCGAGUACCAGUACCACUACCAGUACCGACGAUUGACGAUUUUCCUCAACUUGGCAUCAAUAUCGAACGCAAGCAGUGGACAGGGGAUCUUUUCAGUGAAGUUUGUGACUAGCAGCGAAGAGAGCAGAUUACCAUUUGAUACGGAAAAGCAGAAAACCACAGAGAACGACUCCAAUAUGCAACAUUAAAGAAGUGGAACAAAGAAAAGCGAAGAUGCCCAUGAAGACGAAAGUGACUACAUUCAAGCCAAGGAAGAAUGUAGAAGUGGAUUUCACUAGUAAUAAUCGGUAAGAUUUCUGUGAUAUACUGUAUCUAAUGCCAAGUUCUACUGUGAUUUUAUUUUUUACCUCCGCCCAACGGAGUUGGAGGAGGUUAU